CGGGUGAGUAACACGUGGAUAACCUACCUAUAANACUGGGAUAACUUCGGGAAACCGGAGCUAAUACCGGAUAAUAUUUUGAACCGCAUGGUUCAAAAGUGAAAGACGGUCUUGCUGUCACUUAUAGAUGGAUCCGCGCUGCAUUAGCUAGUUGGUAAGGUAACGGCUUACCAAGGCAACGAUGCAUAGCCGACCUGAGAGGGUGAUCGGCCACACUGGAACUGAGACACGGUCCAGACUCCUACGGGAGGCAGCAGAG
rnacentral:rRNA from 1 species